rnacentral:rRNA from 1 species
UACAGAGGGGGCGAGCGUUGUUUGGAUUUACUGGGCGUAAAGGGCGCGUAGGCGGCAAUUCAAGUCAUCUGUGAAAUCUCUGGGCUUAACCCAGAACGGCCAGGUGAUACUGCCUUGCUAGAGUGCGGAAGGGGCAAUCGGAAUUCUUGGUGUAGCGGUGAAAUGCGUAGAUAUCAAGAGGAACACCUGAGGUGAAGACGGGUUGCUGGGCCGACACUGACGCUGACAGCGCGAAAGCCAGGGGAGCAAACGGG